GGUCCCGUAGCUCAACUGGAUAGAGUGCCGCGCUUCGAACGCGGAGGUUGCGGGUUCAAGCCCUGCCGGGACCGCCA
rnacentral:tRNA from 1 species